rnacentral:misc_RNA from 1 species
AAAGUCGUAACAAGGUUUCCGUAGGUGAACCUGCGGAAGGAUCAUUACACUCAGUAGUUUACUACUGUAAAAGGGGCUGUUAGUCUGUAUAGCGCAAGCUGAUGAGCAGCUGGCCUCUUUUAUCCACCCUUGUCUUUUGCGUACCCACGUUUCCUCGGCAGGCUUGCCUGCCGGUUGGACAAAUUUAUAACCUUUUUAAUUUUCAAUCAGCGUCUGAAAAACUUAAUAAUUACAACUUUCAACGGAUCUCUUGGUUCUG